GCCAGUGUGGUGUAGUGGCUUGAGCGCUGGGCUACAACUCCGGAGACCAGGGUUUGAAUCCCUGCUCAUUCA